UGAGGAAUAUUGGGCAAUGCCCGCAAGGGUGACCCAGCAACGCCGCGUGGAGGAUGAAUGUCGUAAGAUUGUAAACUCCUGUUAGAGGGGAAGAAUAGUACCGGUUGGACCGGUAUAUGACUGUACCCUCAGAGAAAGCCCCGGCUAACUAAGUGCCAGCAGCCGCGGUAAUACGUAGGGGGCAAGCGGUGUCCGGAUUUACUGGGUGUAAAGGCGCGCAGGCGGGAUAAAAAGUCAGUGGUGAAAUCCUACAGCUUAACUGUAGAACUGCCUUUGAUACUUUUAUUCUUGAUUUCGGGAGAGAGAGACGGAAUUCCGGGUGUAGUGGUGAAAUACGUAGAUAUCUGGAAGUACACCAGUUGCGAAGGCGGUCUCUUGUUCCGACACUGACGCUGAGGCGCGAAAGCGUGGGGAGCAAACA
rnacentral:rRNA from 1 species